UUCCAAAACGACGCCCCAUUCACAUACUAUGAUGGUCACUGAUUAAAAACCGGUCCUCAGCACAUCGUUUGCAUUUUGCACUACGUCAACUCAUGUCUCACUCAGCGUGCUGACCAGGGAGUGCGAGCAACACCCCUUCUAUUUGUCUGUCAUCAUCCCCACAGACAAAAUAAAGCCCACAGUAGAUAUGGGGCUUGGGGGUGGUGUGCAUGAAUGUCAGGAUUUUCUUCUGAGGCUCCCAACUGAAGCCGAGCUCUCAAACCCAGCAGAUGCUCUCAUCAGGGGUCUGGUUUGAACGGUAUCAUCAUCCAACUGUCCCGAAGACCAGAAUAAAGCAUGUAAGGGGAAGACUGCAUCAACUAUGAGUAAUCAAAAAGGAAUCAAGAGCAACAUAAAACAACAGUCCCACUUCCCCAUCCAGGACUCCUUCCCCUCCUUUUUUUCUUUUUUUCUGCACAGUUUGUAAUAAGGAAGGGGAGAGGAAGUGCUCGGUGUUACUAUGCACGAUCUGGAGAGUUGUUGCUGAUUUCCACAGCUUCACUCAACACACUCCUGCUGAGUUAAUAAUUCUGACCUCUGCUUAAUUAAAAUAACAGACCAUCCUCCACUGAGAAAAAAAGCAAUUUGAGAAUUAUUCCAACUAAUCGCUAAUUAAGAUUUUGCAAAAACAACAAGAAACCUGUCAAGGAAGAUGUAUCUAUUUAUAGAGAGUAUUCCAGAGAAGAAGCAGAUGUAUGUGGACACCCAGUAACAACCAGGAAAAGUUAUUGUUCCUCUUGACAGUGCAGAGCUAUAGCUGCACUAUUGACUACUUGAAAUCAAGUUAAACUAUAGCCUGUGAUGCUGUACUUCAAUAACAUUACAUUAGUGUUAUGCAGAAACAAAUCCCCUGAAAAGACUAACCCAACAAAAAUAUAAUCACAUUUACAAGUGCCUAUUAAGGAUCUGAGGGAAGCAUUUCCUUCUUUAAAAGAAAAAGUCACAGAAUUGCUUCAUUAAUUGCUCAUUUUGUUGUGUUGCCCUUUUGACUGAAUAAGGUGAAAGGGGCCAGAAACAGUCAAAACCAAAGGAUUGUGCUGUAAUAACUGCGUCCUCUCUCUAGUCGUGAAUCUUGGCCCCUGCUGCCGUGAGGGCUGUAAUUCUGCAGCAAGGAGUGUUAAGAGGAUAUCAUUAUCAUGUGUUUCUGAGUAAGCUGCAGAUUUGGUUAAAUAUAGUGGCGUUUUUUGUUUCCUCUCCUUUUCAGUUUUGCAUUAAAGCUGGGUCAAGCCGACCCCUCCCAUGGCAUUUCUUUUCAAACAGAACUGCCAAAGCGCCUCCUCUGCCGCAAAUGUAGCCAAUAUCGAUGCCAUGCUAAAAAACUGAUUGAAAAGAGACUUACAUGUUUCAAAGCAUGCUGGGAGCUGGGGGCCAGGCGAAAGCCCAAAGUAUUAAAGCUGAGAUAGUCACCAGUAUGUCAUAAAAAAGGCAACAUAUGCCCACACGCCCGACAGCACACCAAUCAGGGCUGUGAUUCUGAAGAUUUUUUAUUUGUCAUCAUGUUUGUUUAUCUUUGUUGUACUUAUAUUUUGAAAAAUGUCUCUGUCUCUGAUUGGGUGGAUUUAGUACAAAAAAAAAACUGCAUGUACACUUCAUAACCCUUACAUUAAAGAGCUA